rnacentral:sRNA from 1 species
UGAAGGAUGAAGCUGCGGAAACAGCGGCCAGACUUCGUGAAGCUGAAGGGACCAAAAGCCGUCUUUUGCAAAUGGCAUCUGAAAAAAUCGCGCCGUUACAGGAUGCAGUGGAUCUGGACGAAGCAACCGAUAAAGAAAAAGCUUCUCUUCUGGCAUGGAGAAAGUACCGGGUACAGGUAAACCGUGUUGAUACUUUAAA